rnacentral:rRNA from 1 species
AUUGAACGCUGGCGGCAGGCCUAACACAUGCAGGUCGAGCGGAUGAAGGGAGCUUGCUCCUGGAUUCAGCGGCGGACGGGUGAGUAAUGCCUAGGAAUCUGCCUGGUAGUGGGGGAUAACGUCCGGAAACGGGCGCUAAUACCGCAUACAUCCUGAGGGAGAAAGUGGGGGAUCUUCGGACCUCACGCUAUCAGAUGAGCCUAGGUCGGAUUAGCUAGUUGGUGGGGUAAAGGCCUACCAAGGCGACGAUCCGUAACUGGUCUGAGAGGAUGAUCAGUCACACUGGAACUGAGACACGGUCCAGACUCCUACGGGAGGCAGCAGUGGGGAAUAUUGGACAAUGGGCGAAAGCCUGAUCCAGCCAUGCCGCGUGUGUGAAGAAGGUCUUCGGAUUGUAAAGCACUUUAAGUUGGGAGGAAGGGCAGUAAGUUAAUACCUUGCUGUUUUGACGUUACCAACAGAAUAAGCACCGGCUAACUUCGUG